UACGGGGGGGGCAAGCGUUGUUCGGAAUUACUGGGCGUAAAGCGCACGUAGGCGGCCAUGCAAGUCGGAUGUGAAAGCCCUGGGCUCAACCCAGGAAGUGCACUCGAAACUGCGUGGCUUGAGUACUGGAGAGGUUGGUGGAAUUCUCGGUGUAGAGGUGAAAUUCGUAGAUAUCGAGAGGAACACCGGUGGCGAAGGCGGCCAACUGGACAGAUACUGACGCUGAGACACGAAAGCGUGGGGAGCAAACAGG
rnacentral:rRNA from 1 species